AUUGAACGCUGGCGACAGGCCUAACACAUGCAAGUCGAGCGGAUGAAGGGAGCUUGCUCCUGGAUUCAGCGGCGGACGGGUGAGUAAUGCCUAGGAGUCUGCCUGGUAGUGGGGGAUAACGUCCGGAAACGGGCGCUAAUACCGCAUACGUCCUGAGGGAGAAAGUGGGGGAUCUUCGGACCUCACGCUAUCAGAUGAGCCUAGGUCGGAUUAGCUAGUUGGUGGGGUAAAGGCCUACCAAGGCGACGAUCCGUAACUGGUCUGAGAGGAUGAUCAGUCACACUGGAACUGAGACACGGUCCAGACUCCUACGGGAGGCAGCAGUGGGGAAUAUUGGACAAUGGGCGAAAGCCUGAUCCAGCCAUGCCGCGUGUGUGAAGAAGGUCUUCGGAUUGUAAAGCACUUUAAGUUGGGAGGAAGGGCAGUAAGUUAAUACCUUGCUGUUUUGACGUUACCAACAGAAUAAGCACCGGCUAACUUCGUG
rnacentral:rRNA from 1 species